UACGGGAGGCAGCAGUGGGGAAUAUUGCACAAUGGGCGCAAGCCUGAUGCGGCCAUGCCGCGUGUAUGAAGAAGGCCUUCGGGUUGUAAAGUACUUUCAGUCGUGAGGAAGGUGUUAAGGUUAAUAACCUUAGCAAUUGACGUUAGCGACAGAAGAAGCACCGGCUAACUCCGUGCCAGCAGCCGCGGUAAUACGGAGGGUGCGAGCGUUAAUCGGAAUUACUGGGCGUAAAGGGCACGCAGGCGGUUAAUUAAGUUGGAUGUGAAAUCCCCGGGCUUAACCUGGGAAUGGCAUUCAAGACUGGUUAGCUAGAGUCUUGUAGAGGGGGGUAGAAUUCCAUGUGUAGCGGUGAAAUGCGUAGAGAUGUGGAGGAAUACCGGUGGCGAAGGCGGCCCCUGGACAAAGACUGACGCUCAUGUGCGAAAGCAUGGGGAGCAAACAGGGAUUAGAUACC
rnacentral:rRNA from 1 species